AAAUUGAAGAGUUUGAUCAUGGCUCAGAUUGAACGCUGGCGGCAGGCCUAACACAUGCAAGUCGAGCGGCAGCGGGAAAGUAGCUUGCUACUUUUGCCGGCGAGCGGCGGACGGGUGAGUAAUGCCUGGGGAUCUGCCCAGUCGAGGGGGAUAACUACUGGAAACGGUAGCUAAUACCGCAUACGCCCUACGGGGGAAAGCAGGGGACCUUCGGGCCUUGCGCGAUUGGAUGAACCCAGGUGGGAUUAGCUAGUUGGUGAGGUAAUGGC
rnacentral:rRNA from 1 species